AUGAGAUGCAGUUUCAAUGCAGACAUCAAGUGUGAUUAUAUAAACAACAAUCUGGCCGAGUCUUACUGGAUAAAAGAUUAUAAAGACUUGCCUGGUGAUGAGCUUGCUGACACAUAUAGAGAAUUGUUGAUGAAACUAGUAUACAAAAGAAGGAGAAUUGGGGAUAAAUUGAGGGGAAAGAUCAUUCCUGCUGUUAUUCAACAGAUUUUCAAUAGGACUAGAGGGCUUGGUCAUCUAAAAGUUGGAAAAUCAAGUAAUGGUAGUUGUGAAGUCAGGGACACAAGCAAAAACAGUCUUAGGCAUGUUGUGAAGGUUGACAAACAUGAAUGCACUUGUUUGGAGUGGCAGCACACCGGAAAGCCUUGUGAGAAUGCUCUAGUAUUUUUGAUGGGGAGGAGAAACCCCAAAUGGGUAGACUAUGUUCAUAAUUAUUUCUCCUUGGACAAGUUUAGGGCAGCUUAUGCAGGUGAGAUUGAG
rnacentral:rRNA from 1 species